rnacentral:lncRNA from 1 species
GGAGGGUGAGGGCUCCAGCAUGGCAGGCUGCAGGUCCCGAGCCCUGCCCCCUUGCCCCGCGGGGAGGUGGCUGAGGCCCAGCGAAAAUUCGAGCGCGGCGCCGGCGGGCCAUCACUGUUGGAGGACCCAGUGCACCCUCCGCAGCUGCUGGCCCGGGUGCUAAGCCUCUCACUGCCCAGGGCCGGCGGCGCCAGCCGACCGCUCAAGAGUGCGGGGCGCGCCGAGCCCGCGCCCACCCGGAAGUCGCGCCGAGCCCGCGCCCACCCGGAAGUCGCGCUGGACCUGCGAGCCCCGCAGGCAGCCCAGGUUCCGGCCCGCGCCUCUCCCUCCACACCUCCCCGCCAGCAGAGGGAGCCCGCUCAGGCCUCAGCCAGCACAGAGAGGGGCUCCCACGGUGCAGCUGCGGGCUGAAGGGCUCCUCAAGCGCGGCCAGAGUGGGCUGAGGCCGAGGAGGUGCCGAGAGCCAGCGAGGGAUGCCAGCAAGCUGUCACCUCUCAGAAAUACAGGAAGAACAUCAAUAAUGUUCGAAGUUAUAAAGUAGCUGGAAUGCACUUGGAUGCCAGAGAUUUUGAUUUCUUCAUGUGAAAUAAGUUGCGGAGGUCAGAGGUCAGAAAACAAGGUGUCUGCAGGACCAACCUCUCCUCUGGAUGCUCUAGGUGAGAAUCUUUUCCAUGCCUUUCUCUUAGCUUCUGAUGUUGCCAUCAGAACUUCAGAUGGUGUUCCUUGGCUUCUGUCAAUAUUAAUACAUAAAUCCUUUUCAGUCUCAGCUUCUCUCUUCACAUGGUCCUCUCCACAUCCUAUCUGUUUCUGUUCCCUCUUCUUAUAAAGACAACCCAUGUUAUUUUAAGUCCCACCUACAGACAUAAUUUUAGCUUGAUUACAUCUGCAAAAACUUUGUGUCCAAAUGAGGUUUCAUUUACCUUAUGUGUAUAACUAGGGGUUAGGGCUUGAACAUACGGGUUUGGGGAGGGGAACACAGUUCAGACCAUGACACUCAUUGUUUCACUCAUUAAUGAGUUAAGGGUGCUUUGAUAUUAUUACAUUUGAAUGAGAGUGGUCUUUAAAAUUACAUUUUGUCGUGUAGUUUGUUCCACCCUGAUGCUUAAAGGGAGUCACCUGCCUCAGCCAAUUAAACUGUGUUGUCUCUGCAGUGCGUUUUAUCACAAGAACAUGACCUUCAAGCACAAGAACACCUUGUACUCCACCACUAAAAACAGAAAUGACAUCUACCUUCACUGCUUCCCUAUUUCUCUCCAUCUUUACUGACUUGGUAUUUUGUUGUUGCUGUCAUUUCUGGUUGUUGGUCAAUUUUCAUUUCUGUUCUUAUUUUGCUGAUAAUUCUUAUAAAUCAGUGCUGAAUUUUGUCAAAUUAUUUUUCUGCAUCUCUACAGAUGAUCAUUUUAUGUUUUCGUCCCUGUGAUAAUUUAGUGAAUGUCAUUGAUCAAUUUUUAAAUAAUGAAUAUCUUUGCAUUUAAGAUAAUAUUUUUCACUAUUAAUGUUAUCUCUGAAAUGAAAGCUAAACCUAGUCAAUAGAUAUUAGAGGUGCAUGAUUUUUAAAAUUGUAUAAA